ensembl:lncRNA
UAUAGAGUAUCCAUAUGUUUAGCAAUAGAUUGAGAACAAAAGAAAUGAAGCUAAACAAGUAAACAAAUCUUCAUAUAUUUUUAUUUAAAAUCUGAGAGAGCUCAUUUUUCUCGUUCUCUCAUGUUCUGUCCACCUACGGUGUCAGAUUUAACACGACUGGUUGAGCUGAGGUUAGUAUUUAUUUUUAUAAUUUAAAAAUGGACUUGCAUAUGUAAUACAUAAAUAUAUUCCUGUGGUUAAAAAUUCAUACAAUACAUAUGAAUCUAAAUCUGCGUUGACCCCAGUCAAUCUCAUUCCUCUUUUCAGAGGUAUCCAGGUGUGUUAGUUUGCCAUGUGUAACAAAUUUCCACAAAUUUAGCAGCUUAAAACAGGAGCCAUUCGUUGUCUCAGUUCUGAAGGUCAGAAGUCCCGGGGGCCCAGCUGGUUCUCCUGCCCAGGGCUUCACACGGCUGCGUCAAAGUAUCCACCAGAGUCAAGCUUCUCACCUGAGGGGCCGGGGCCCUCUUCCAACCUGGGUGGCUCUCGGCAGAAUUAAUUUCCUUCUCAUGCCCUCUGUGUGGUUUCCUCCAUCUUCAAGCCAGCAAGUCCCCUGUCUUUCUCCUGCUUUGAAUUUUCUCGCACUGCCACCUCUCUCGACUUCCUCUUCCUCAGCAGGACAAACUCUGCUUUUGAAGGGCUCGUGUGAUUCCAUUGGGCCCACGUGGAUGAUUCAAGUUGUCAUCCGGAGGAUGCAGUCUCCAAUUAGACCAGUUAAUAGAAUGAGAAGUAUUGGUGGGGAAAGAAGAAUAGUUUACUUGUUUUCUUAAAAUCACCUCCCAAUAUUAAAGUCAUGGCGACACACGAAAUGUCUGAAAGAGCCACAAAGGGUCAUUGGCCAUGCAUUUUUAGUUGCAGCAGAAGAGCACUAUAAACACAGGGAUUCCGGGCUCUGCUUGUGGUGGUUCUUAUUCACGCAGACACUCAGCUAUCUCAAGCACUGUGAUCAGAACACCGCACUCAACUGUGCUGACCACUCGCUGAUGCUGGAGCUGCCCAUCAACAGGGCCAGAAGUCUGCAGGAAGAGGGAAGCAGGGCCAGAGCACAGGUGUCCAUGCCACCUUGGACGUCCUCUUAGUACUGGAGCCACAGUGCCAGUGGGGACAGGAAUAACAGAAGCAUUGUCAAAAGAACCAUCCAUCAGAGAAGCUUUGAUGAGUUAGCUCAACCUGUGUGCAAAAACAAAAAUGAAAGUGUAAGAAGCCUCUUCAGGAGCAUGCCGCCAUGACUGCAUAAUGAAAAUUGCUUCCUCUCAGGCCAUGAUUUCUUCUUGGCUAUGUCAUUAAGUCUUAUGAAAACCUUAGUAUUGAGAGCUAAAUGAAAGCUUGUGAGUUUUGGUCUCCCAUUGUGAAUCUAGCUUAUGUUGGAGAAUUAUUUCCUCAGUUAGCCUUCUGAGUGUUAAUAUAUUGCAGAGUUUAAACACAACUGCAUUGGGCAUUUCCAUUUAAAACAGAGCUUUUACAUGAUUCAUGAUGGGUAUUUCACAUUUCCCUCUUUCUAAAGAUCUAGGAAAUUAUUGUACAAGUUGUAAGUAAUGUGUCUGUAAGAACAAAGCAAUAUGUUUUAAACAGCUCAAGAUCAUUCUAUGGAAAGCUCCAUUCUAUCUAAUGCAUAUACACCUUAGCAGCAUUUCUCCUGGGAAAAUGUGAAAUAUGAUGCCCUAUGGAAUUGUAGAUUGGUAAGCCUAAUAUUUGUUGUUCUGAAAAUCCUUUUGUAAGAAGUUAGAAGAAAGUGUAUCCAUCUAAGUGUUAGAAGGGCAGAAUUCUGGGUUCAAUUCCUCUCCUUUUAGCUGUGUGACCUGAGACAAGCCAUGCAACUUCUCUGAGUCCAAAUUUCCUCUUCUUUGAAAUGGGCAAACUAGCUUUUACUCAACAUUCUCCUGAGUUGUAAAAAUCAAAGAAGAUAUUAGAUGAGACCGUGUUUGAAAGCAGCUGUAUACAAAACAAAUGAAAAGUUGAGACAAUCUAGAAAAUAGUGUGAAUUGUUCUAUUUAAUAAACUGAAUAUGUUGUCUUAAUUGCUCAUAGUGGACUCCCACCCUCAUCCCCAGGCUGAGGCCUGCAGUUUGCGUGUUUCAGCCUGUUAUCCCAUCUCCUCCCUUUCAGAGGUUGAUGGUCUGGGGUUAUCAGGAGUUAGGUCGUAGUUCACAAGAGGCGUCAGAUGGAGCCUCGUCAUCAAAAUAACCCAGGAGAUUAUCGGUAGCUACUAACAAUUGGAAGUCCGUGGUUUUCACAGUUGUACCACUUCCUUCUUGUAGUGAAUGUUUUGCUAUAUCCAAGGUCUAAUGGGUUUUGAAGGUGGGACUGAUGAAUUCGUAGGUCUCU